GGGUGCGAACAUACUAGCACUAAUGCUCCGGAUCUCAUCAGAACUCUGUAGUUAAGCGUGCUUGGGCGAGAGUAGUACUAAGUUGGGCGACCACUUGGGAAUUCCUUUGUUGCACCCU